rnacentral:rRNA from 1 species
GACGAACGCUGGCGGCGUGCUUAACACAUGCAAGUCGAACGAAGUGGCGAACGGGUGAGUAACGCGUAAUCAACCUGCCCUUCAGAGGGGGACAACAGUUGGAAACGACUGCUAAUACCGCAUACUGAAGUAGGGGAGUGCGUGGGUUUAGUUAGUUGUAGGGGUAACGGCCCACCAAGGCGAUGAUGAGUAGCCGGCCUGAGAGGGUGAACGGCCACAUUGGGACUGAGACACGGCCCAGACUCCUACGGGAGGCAGCAGUGGGGAAUCUUCCGCAAUGGACGGAAGUCUGACGGAGCAACGCCGCGUGAGUGAUGACGGCCUUCGGGUUGUAAAGCUCUGUUAAUCGGGACGCGGUACCGGAAUAGAAAGCCACGGCUAACUACGUGCCAGCCGCCGCGGUAAUUC